AUCUGUGUAUUUUUGUAAUUGUGCAUUUUGGGGCACAAUAGUUAUAAUCUUUAUUUUAUAUUCAGGUGUUACCAUGUUUUGAUGAGUCGUGUUUGAUUUGAUCCUAUUGUUUUGACCUUUGCAUCUAAGUGUGAGGGUCUUUUUUGUUACCAAUUAUUUUCCAUGUCGUAAUAAAAAACGAAUCCAAAACCUGAGAAGUGUUUUAUUUGUGUUUUCUACAAAACCCAGAAAACCACCUGACUACAAAUGGCGCCCAACGUGAUUAUUGUGAUUAUCGGAAAUAUUGGAAACUAGCCCGGGAUCAGCAUAACAUCUUUUAGCAGUGCACUCGACCGAAAUUUACACAACAUCCGGAAAAAGGAAAAACUUGUUUUCUGCAGAGACUGACUGCUUGAGAUUGAUAUAUUUAUUCAUUGUAAAGGUGUUACCAUGUUUUGAUGAGUCAUGUUUGAUUUGAUCCUAUUGUUUUGACCUUUGCAUCUAAGUGUGAGGGUCUUUUUUGUUACCAAUUAUUUUCCAUGUCGUAAUAAAAAACGAAUCCAAAACCUGAGAAGUGUUUUAUUUGUGUUUUCUACAAAACCCAGAAAACCACCUGACUACAUGUGUGCACGUGAAUAUAGAUGUACUAUGCAAUAUACUAUCAUGGUCACCACGAAACUCAAAUGAAUUCAGUGAAGGCAUGUUGGUGUAAAAAGGUUUCGCAAAGAAUAUACGAAGAAGAAAGAAGAAAUUACGUGCCUUAAAAUUUUACUCUAUCUACUUUAUACCUGCUACCUUAAUCUUGUUUACAGUGGGACGACUUGAAAUAACCUACCAGAAACUGUCGUGAUAAAAUAUAGCAAAAAAUGAUGUUUAAACAGGUCAUGUCCUUGUAUUAUAUUGCAUGGAUCUCUAUUUUAUGAAUAUCUAUUGCGUAUCCUUUCUAAUCAAAUGGCAAGAUAAUAUCACAAUUGUUUCUUGUUGUUUUUAUGUAUUUAUGUAUAACGUUCCCAGCAGUUUUCCCUUUGGCCUGGCUUGCAAAACUUCCUGAGUGUUGCAACAUUUACAAAGAAGUUAACUGUUUUCUGUUUAAUGUUUGUUAGGUUGCAGCUAGAUUGACAUUUACGCAAUAUAGAUGUGAAUGAAAAAUAGAACUUUUAACAGAAUUAUUUUUCAUCAUGACACCAGUAGUUAGACCCUUUAUUGACGAACAUCGUAUAAUUCUGAUAUGGAAUUAAUGACUGUGUUUUUUUUUCCCUUGAAUUACUGUAUUUGAUUUUUCUUUAAAAUUAAAAGAACACUCACCAAGAUGAAGAAUGACCAGACCAAACACAGAAAUGUCAGAAAUCUUAAUCUGUAUUCUGGUUCUGUUUUAAGCCGAUGUAAUAGUGAUCCAGUGUUAUUCAUCACUGAUUCACACAUUUCUUGGUCUCUGUGAGUGCUCAACACUUUGAUGAAUUACUCUGUAAACCUUUAAAAUUUAAAUGUAUAUAAAAAUAAAAAAGUAGUUCACA